AAGAAGCCAGGAGACAACAUCAGAGGCAGGAGCUGUGCUGUAUUCAUCCUGAAAAGUUCUGGAGGAGGAAGCCACCUACUGGUCUCUGAGUGGGUGGUGGGGGGCAGAUGGAAGUGGAGGGGCAAGGCUAAAACCUUAAGGAACUGCCUGUCAGUGAGCACUCCUGGGAGAAUCAGAACACUGGGAGGAAAGAGGUCAAGGAGACAGCCUUCCUGCCACAUAGAUAGAACAUUCUGGUGGAUGGAAAUUUCCACGAGUGCUUCAGCCUUUCUGCCUGGCUUACACAGAAAUGGAUCUUAGAGCUACUGGCCAGAAGAUCACCUUUACCGAAAGCAUCUUGCAGUCAUCCUCCUUUCCAAGCCGCCUUCCAGUAAGACUCACAAUGGAAGGUCCCCAACCUGGAGCAAGGAUACAAGCCAAGGGCUUUGAUCAACUCGGCCUUCCUGGGCCUCGGGGAGAGAGACGGACUGCCUCCGGGUGCUCAUGACCUUUCCAGCAGUAAGCCAAUAAUGUAUGACUCCUGCGUUGCCGUUGCUCGUUUGAGGAAUCAUAACUUAUGAAAAGCAACUCUGGGGAUGUUGACAAAACUGGAAAAACAGAUGUCUUGAGCCAACUGGGAUCAAUAUGAGCCGAGCAGAAGCUUGAGAAACUCAGGUAGGCUGGAAUCUGGACAGCGUUAUCCUGGACAAUUCAAUCCCUGCCAGAAAGGAACAUCUGUCCAGUCCCUGGGAUGGUGAGGCUAUAACCACAAAGGAAUAAGAGAAGACGACUAGUUUUGUAAUGGGUAAAUUUUGAAUGAUGCAUUGGCCCACGUGGACCACCUUCCAUUUCCCAAGACUUUUUGAAGGCAAUGAAUGAGAAGAAAGCAGAGAAAACAGUGGGCGUGAGGUCAGAUGACUCAGGCUUGAGUACUGAUCACAUCAAGGAUUGGACGCACUGCUCUUAGGAAGGCACAACUUCUACUACUUUCAGUCUUAUCAACUGUGAGAGGAAGAAGAAGCAAAGCACACCAUUGAUGUGUGUGGGUUUGAUGUAGCAUCUUCUAAGAGGUCUACAAAGAGACAUUGCAAAGCCAGGCCUCUAAAUGAUUCCUCUGUGAAACAUUGGGCCAAACAUUCCGUAACCCCUUCCUGCUCUGGUGAUCAUGUAAGUAGAUAUUCUGGAAGCACUUGCUCUACAGAUGGAGAAUUGUCACCAUCUGCCAGGACAGCUCCUGCUCAUCUUUCAUGACUCAGCUCACAUGUCAUAACUUCAAGGGGCCUUCAGCUCUCUGGCCCUUCCUGCCCCAUGAAGGCUCUACCCAGUGCCCCCAACUUUGCUCCUUCGGCUGCAUUUGAAGCAUUUACCUGUGCUUGUUAAUUGUUGGUGGAAUUGUCUGUAGACUGUGACCUUGAGUGUGCAGAGUCUUGUAGAGUCAUCUCUGGAUUCCCCACUCUGAGAACCACGCUUGGCCAUUGCAGGCUCUCAACAAAGGCUUGCUGAGGGGAUGAAUGAAUGAAUGUAUGGAUGGCAUGAAUGUAUGGGCUCUGGUGAAUUUUUUGCCCACAUUUUGCUGGCCAGCGGCUGCAUUGGGUCUGCACACUGAACCCUUUGGCUCAAGGUAUCAGAGCUGCUCUCCUUCCAGUGAAGACUUGGAUGGAAGACUUGAGAUGCAGGUUAUGGGGAUACGUGUCACCUCUAUUCCUCAUUCAGAAGGAUACAUACCUCACUGGACCAUAAAAAAUGAGAACUGAAUUAUCUGAGUGUUUGAAUAAACUUCCACCUUGUUACUCCACUACAGUCUGAGAAAACUUCACUGCACAAAUAGAGGCAGUGUACACCCCUCACAGACACUUUCCUUUCUCCUGUUGAGAGGUGAAGCCAGCUGGACUUCUGGGUCGGGUGAGGACUUGAAGAACUUUUUUGUCUUACAAGAGGUUUGUAAAAUGCACCAAUCAGUGCUCUGUAAAAACGCACCAAUCAGCGCCCUGUGGCUAGCUAGCGGUUUGUAAAAUGCACCAAUCAGUGCCCUGUAAAAACGCAGCAAUCAGCACUCUGUGGCUAGCUAGAGGUUUGUAAAAUGGACCAAUCAGCACUCUGUAAAACAGACCAAUCAGCACUCUGUAAAAUGGACCAAUCAGCAGGACAUGGGUGGGGACAAAUAAGGGAAUAAAAGCUGGCCACCCCAGCCAGCAGCAGCAACAACACGGUCGCGUCCCUUUCCACGGUUUGGAAGCUUUGUUCUUUUGCUCUUUCCAAUAAAUCUUGCUACCCUUCAGGAUCAAGGAGGUGGCUUCCCCUCUGCUGUCCUUGCGAUGGACAAAUGGAGAGACCUCGUUCAGUCGAUGGAUGGUAGCAACAAGGAAGAAAGCAAAUGGAGAAAUGACAUCUCAUGACCCA
rnacentral:lncRNA from 10 species